rnacentral:rRNA from 1 species
UACGUAGGGCGCAAGCGUUGUCCGGAAUUAUUGGGCGUAAAGAGCUCGUAGGCGGCUUGUCACGUCGAUUGUGAAAGCCCGAGGCUUAACCUCGGGUCUGCAGUCGAUACGGGCUAGCUAGAGUGUGGUAGGGGAGAUCGGAAUUCCUGGUGUAGCGGUGAAAUGCGCAGAUAUCAGGAGGAACACCGGUGGCGAAGGCGGAUCUCGCUG